AUAAGUUGUUUCUAAGCUCUUUGACAUUGUUCGAAGAGUCAUGGUAACAUUAUUGUUUUUUUACCAUAGACUCCUACAUUAAGACUUUAGAAUAGAGUAGUACGUUCGUAUAGAAGUUUGUAUUGUUAUUAUUUAGUCGUGAAAAAAUAUUUCAUAAAUUAUUUCGCAUUUCAUCCUUAUAUAUUAUAAUUUUUUUAUUACGUAGUGCUGUGUUUUAAAUUGUAAGAAAUCAAAUUGUAAAAACAUAAAUACUUAACUUUUUUCUUUACCAACAAAUAACAUCUGACAUUGUCAUUGUUACAUGUCAUUGACAAGUAACAUUUGUUCUCAAUUUAAUAUUUUCAAGUAUAAGAGCAAAACAAAAAAAUAAUUGUUAUUCCUGUAGCAAGUUCUGGAAUAGCUGCUACUCUUUUACGCAAUAAUGAAACAGUACAUUCGCUUUUAAAUUACCACUAAACUUGCAAAACACUGAUUAUCCAGUAUACAAUAUUAAAAAAGGUACAAUGAAUGCUAAGUUAUUUCGAGAAUGCAGUGCCAUCAUCUGGGAUGAAUGUAUACUUGAGCUCAUAAAAACCAAUAAAAGCAUUAAAUCGAACUUUAAAAGAUAUAAGAAACACAACCAAAAUUAUGGGUGGAAUAACUGUAAUUAUUUCUGCUGAUUCUCGUCAAAUUUUACCUGAGCAAUUCAAUGAGAUAUAAGAGCCGAUGAAAUUAAUACGUACUUUAAAUAACCCCAUUUAUGAAAAGAUAUAAAAUUUUAAACCUUGAAAAUCAUAUACAAACUCAAUUGCACGGAGAGAUCAAUGUUGCUAAUUUUUCAAACUGGCUAUGACAAAUUGGAAAUGGUACUUUUCCUGUGGAUAAUUAUGGAUUUAUUCAAUUUCCAGAACAAUUCUAUCAUAUAGUAUACACUAUUGAUGCAUUAAUUUCUGUGAUAUACCCAAAUAUCAGUAAUAAUAUUAAAAAAAAUAAUGAAUGGUUA